GCGCGAAACCUCCGCAAUGCGAGCAAUCGCGACGGGGGGACCCCAAGUGCCACUCUUAACGGGGUGGCUUUUCUUAAGUGUAAAAAGCUUUUGGAAUAAGGGCUGGGCAAGACCGGUGCCAGCCGCCGCGGUAACACCGGCAGCUCUAGUGGUAGCCAUUUUUAUUGGGCCUAAAGCGUUCGUAGCCGGUUUGAUAAGUCUCUGGUGAAAUCCUAUAGCUUAACUGUGGGACUUGCUGGAGAUACUAUUAGACUUGAGGUCGGGAGAGGUUAGCGGUACUCCCAGGGUAGGGGUGAAAUCCUGUAAUCCUGGGAGGACCACCUGUGGCGAAGGCGGCUAACUGGAACGAACCUGACGGUGAGGGACGAAAGCCAGGGGCGCGAACCGG
rnacentral:rRNA from 1 species